GACGAACGCUGGCGGCGUGCCUAAUACAUGCAAGUCGAGCGAAGUUUUUCUGGUGCUUGCACUAGAAAAACUUAGCGGCGAACGGGUGAGUAACACGUAAAGAACCUGCCUCAUAGACUGGGACAACUAUUGGAAACGAUAGCUAAUACCGGAUAACAGCAUUAACUGCAUGGUUGAUAUUUAAAAGUUGGUUUUGCUAACACUAUGAGAUGGCUUUGCGGUGCAUUAGCUAGUUGGUGGGGUAAAGGCCUACCAAGGCGACGAUGCAUAGCCGACCUGAGAGGGUGAUCGGCCACACUGGGACUGAGACACGGCCCAGACUCCUACGGGAGGCAGCAGUAGGGAAUCUUCCGCCAUGGGCGAAAGCCUGACGGAGCAACGCCGCGUGAGUGAAGAAGGAUUUCGGUUCGUAAAGCUCUGUUGUUAGGGAAGAAUGAUUGUGUAGUAACUAUACACAGUAGAGACGGUACCUAACCAGAAAGCCACGGCUAACUACGUG
rnacentral:rRNA from 1 species